GUAGAAAAAUCAGUUUGACAACACUUAAAUUUACUUCCCUCAUAAUUGAAUAAGAGGAAAACUUCCUCAUCUAGUCAGAGUGCUGGUCCUUUUUCGGGAUAUGAGUUUGAAUAGUAUCACUGUGUAGUAGGGUCCCUUCCCUUGGGAGAUAUCCCAAAUUCAUUUAUUGGUGCAAGACACUUUUGGCUAACUUCCGGUUGCAUUCCUUCCUGUAUCAAAACAAACAUGUUGAUUAGUAGAGCACGGCCGAGGUAUUAUGAGGUGAGCUUAAUCUCUGUACCGAUUUGCCCUGUAAUGUAGGGUAUGUAUCAGGAAAUACUGUUAAUCUUUGUAAUUACUUUGCUUGUCAUUUAAUAUAAAUAGUAUAUUUCAGAGAAUUUUGAUUUCCUUUAGUGUUCUUUCCUGUGGGAAACUGUUGUUCAUUGUGGAAUAUAUUCGGGGGUUGUUCAUUAUUCGUUUCCUAGCUGAGUUGGCUACCUUGUCCCCUCUCUGCUAAAAGUGAGAGUUCAAACCUUCACAAAUCCUUUGGAGCCAUAAAAAAAGAAUGAGGAAAAGGAAAGAUUGGAGACGAUAGUAAUUUUUUGUCCCUUUCUGUUUUUUUUUUAAACUUUUCUCUCUUGCAGCCUCUCGACAAUCCUGCAGUAUUCAUGGCCCUUGCAAAGAGUAUCUCUGAUCCUUGGAAGCCUGAAGAUCCAUUUUCAGUGUUCAAACUGAAACUGGGACGGGUGUUGAAUGUGAAAUGAU